CAGGGAGACAAAACUGAUCUUGAAGUCUAAAUUAUUUAUUUUUAGGCCUAGAUCCUGUCACCUUAGGUCGAUCGGUACCUCAGAUUAAUUUUUUAUAUAAAUAAUUAAUUUCAGUUCCUAAACUUGUCUAGGUCACACCCAACAAGGGUAAUCCUGGGCCAUUAGCUCAGGUGGUUAGAGCGCACCCCUGAUAAGGGUGAGGUCCCUGGUUCAAGUCCAGGAUGGCCCAUUCGGCGUUGGGGGUAUAGCUCAGUUGGUAGAGCGCCUGCUUUGCAAGCAGGAUGUCAGCGGUUCGAGUCCGCUUACCUCCACUGAUCCAUCUCCUAAUAGCCAAUUGAAGGAAAUAUCUUUUUGAGUGUGAUUUAGCUUCAGUUAUUAAUUUACGAACCUAGCUUCUUAUCCAUUUAAAUUAUUUUAUGUAGAUAAGAUGCUGGGCUCUCUACAAUAUUAAUUGUAGAAAAGUCUAGUAGAACCUUGACAACUGCAUAGGUGAGAGUCUGGAAAGAAUAAAGCAUCUCAUAGAUGCAUUAUCUUUUUUAAUCUCAACUUCUUUUUUUUAAAGAGGUUUUUUAGAUUAAAAAAUGAUUUUUGCAAAUUCUUGAGUAAUAACCGAGUCUCUAUGAAUAUAUAACCUCUAUAGGUUUUAUUUUUUUAGAGAAAAU
rnacentral:tRNA from 1 species